rnacentral:rRNA from 1 species
GAUCCUGGCUUAGGAUGAACGCUGGCGGCGUGCUUAACACAUGCAAGUCGAGCGAAGCGCUUAAGUUUGAUUCUUCGGAUGAAGACUUUUGUGACUGAGCGGCGGACGGGUGAGUAACGCGUGGGUAACCUGCCUCAUACAGGGGGAUAACAGUUAGAAAUGACUGCUAAUACCGCAUAGGACCACGGUACCGCAUGGUACAGUGGUAAAAACUCCGGUGGUAUGAGAUGGACCCGCGU